rnacentral:rRNA from 1 species
GACGAACGCUGGCGGCGUGCUUAACACAUGCAAGUCGAGCGGUAAGGCUCCUUCGGGAGUACACGAGCGGCGAACGGGUGAGUAACACGUGAGUAACCUGCCCUUCUCAUCGGAAUAAGCGUUGGAAACGACGUCUAAUGCCGAAUACGACUUCGGAAGGCAUCUUCUGAAGUGGAAAGCUCCGGCGGAGAAGGAUGGACUCGCGGCCUAUCAGCUAGUUGGUGAGGUAACGGCUCACCAAGGCGAUGACGGGUAGCCGGCCUGAGAGGGUGACCAGCCACACUGGGACUGAGACACGGCCCAGACUCCUACGGGAGGCAGCAGUAGGGAAUAUUGGACAAUGGGCGCAAGCCUGAUCCAGCAACGCCGCGUGAGGGAUGACGGCCUUCGGGUUGUAAACCUCUUUCAGCAGGGACGAAGCGCAAGUGACGGUACCUGCAGAAGAAGGACCGGCCAACUACGUGCCAGCCGCCGCAGUAACAC